GACGAACGCUGGCGGCGUGCCUAAUACAUGCAAGUCGAACGCAGUGGGGACGGGUGAGUAACACGUGGGUAACCUCCCAUCAGAGGGGAUAACACUUGGAAACAGGUGCUAAACCGCUACCGAUGGAUGGAACCGCGGUGCAUUAGCUAGUUGGUGAGGUAACGGCUCACCAAGGCCACGAUGACUAGCGGACAUCGUAGGGUGAUUGGCCACACGGGGACGGAGACACGGCCCAGACUCAUACGGGAGGCAUAAGUAGGAAAUCUUCGCCAAUGAACGAAAGUCUGACCGAGCAACACCGCGUGAGUAAAGAAGGUUUCCGGUUCGUAAGACUCUGGUGUUAGAGAAGCGGGAUCUAACCAGAAAGCCACGGCUAACUACGUGACAGCAGCCGCGGUAAUUC
rnacentral:rRNA from 1 species